UACGUAGGCAGCGAGCGUUGUUCGGAGUUACUGGGCGUAAAGGGUGUGUAGGCGGUUGUUUAAGUUUGGUGUGAAAUCUCCCGGCUCAACUGGGAGGGUGCGCCGAAUACUGAAUGGCUAGAGUGCGGGAGAGGAGAGUGGAAUUCCUGGUGUAGCGGUGAAAUGCGUAGAUAUCAGGAGGAACACCGGUGGUGUAGACGGCUCUCUGGACCGUAACUGACGCUGAGACACGAAAGCGUGGGUAGCAAACAGG
rnacentral:rRNA from 1 species